GUUCAGUUUCCCUGCGUUUCCUUGUGCUUUGAGUCUUUUCAGAAUGUCUCUUUGCAUCUGCCAACCUGCCAGCUGGAGCGUCUACAGACUGUGACCGUCCAUGGAGACCAUGCAGCCACCGCGCUGGACGGAAGCCAUGUUGAGUGACCAUGAGGAGGUCGGGUUAGAACACCCGUCACCCGAACGUCUCCCUGCCUUAUCGUGAAGAGCUCAUAAAGAUCCACUCUCGUCCUCUUCAAGUAGGCUAAUCCUUGUGUCAGCCACACGAGGGAAAGCAGAUACAGCCCAGAUUACCAUGAAGUAAGUGAAAGCGAAGUUCAGCAGGAAUUAUUCUUCUGAUGUCGGAAAAUUUCCCACGGCAUCCUUCUCCCUGAUUGGUUGGAACGGAAAGGCAACUUCUGAAGAUCUCCG